rnacentral:rRNA from 1 species
UACGUAGGUUGCAAGCGUUGUCCGGAUUUACUGGGCGUAAAGAGCGCGCAGGCGGUCAGAUAAGUCGGAUGUGAAAGCCCCCGGCUCAACUGGGGAGGGUCAUUCGAUACUGUUCGACUCGAAGGCAGGAGAGGGAAGCGGAAUUCCCGGUGUAGUGGUGAAAUGCGUAGAUAUCGGGAGGAACACCAGUGGCGAAGGCGGCUUCCUGGCCUGUUCUUGACGCUGAGGCGCGAAAGCGAGGGGAGCAAACGGG